CCUUAGUUUCAGUUGUUAGGCAUUCGAAAAACGGAGAGAAACAGAAUCAGAAAAAUUGAGCAGAAGAGUCUUCUCUCAAAUAGUAUAUCAGUGUGCUUCCCUUCCUGUCUAAGUGUGAAGUAGUGUGCUUUCAUUUCAAGGAAGGCCAGUGCCAGUACUGUUUGUCUUCAGCCCAAAUGAUUGUGAGAUCCCUUGGAUACACCAUGAAGCUGUUGUUGGACUUCUUGUCAACCCAGUACUUCUGUAACAAUAACAGCGAUAGUGUUAAUACUCGGAAAAAGGAAUGAUAAUUGAUAUUGAUGAUGUUCAUGUACUUGUUAGUUGAUUUCAAUUGUCUUUUCUGAGGUGCGCUUGU